GUGACUGAAUUGGGCAGUUUCAGAAAAAGUGGGUAAAUUGGCCAUCAAUGCUAAACUCAGGGGGCAAAUUGCUCUUUAAACGAUAUAGCGGCAUCCUGUAGUGUAUUGUAGAAUUCCCCCAACUUGAACCACACGGGUUGGAAGCCGGGGGAGUCAUGAUAUUGCACAGUGCGGCUAUGGUGGCACUUUGUAGACCGUCUGCACUUAGGCCAGUGUGCUUGGCUUCCAACACCAAAAUCAACACCGAACAGCUACGUACCCAGCUUGAUCAGCUUCACGUGGAAUCCGAUACUACCAGAGCCAAAGCAAAUAGUGCAAGACUGAGAUUUAUGCGAUUAUCAGAGGCAGCAGAGAAGCUUAAACGGCAAGCGGCUAUUAGUAUUCACUCUGGGAAGGAAAAUGAGGCAAGGGAACUUCUUUUCCAGAAGAAGAAGGUUAUGCAAGCUAUGGAAAGAUCAAAGAGUCGAAUUGAAUUGCUUGAUCAGCUUUCUGCUAAACUUAAUGAGGCAAUAUCUAUUAAAGAAAGCUUGUUAAUUGGGAAUAUUGCUCUUGAUCUCGAGAAUGACAGUAAAGAUGCUUCUGGUCCGGUUCGAAUUAUAUCUCCUAAGGAGGGAAUUGUAGAUGACAAAGAUGAGGAUAAAUACUUCUCUAGUGUCCCGAAUGGUAGCAGCAAUCAAGACCUGCAGUUAUACUCAGAUGAUGAAGCAAGCCGGCAAGCUGAUAAAGAGCUAGGAUCUCUCAGCAAUGAUGUCGGUAUUGAAGAUAGCAUGGUUACAGGCUUAGUUGGUAUAUCCUCUUAUGAGGACUUCUUGGAACAUCUAGAUUUACAGCUCAACAGAAUUGAAGCAGAACUUGUCACUAUUCUGAAUGUGUCAGCCUUGGUAAUCAAUGAUGAAGAUAAGCCAAAAAAUUCAAAGGUGCAACAAACUAUAGAGCUUCUUGAUAGUGUCCGUUCUAUAAGAAACAGAAUUGGCAGAAUUAUUCAGGGAAAGGCGGAGACAAUAUGAAGCUUUAUAUAAACUUCCUUUGGCAAGCAAGUUUCUGUCUCAAAUGUUGAAAGAGUGGACGCAAUAGCUACUAUGUAACUCCUGAAUAAGCCUAAUCCAAGGAAAUGGUUUUCAAGGAAAGAAAAGUGGGUGGAAACUCAAGAAAUAAGAGUGCAACUUUUGAUACAGCUGCUUUUCUAAUAGUAAUCAACAGUAUCUUAAUAGUAUUUAUUUACAAUUUCCAAAUACCAAAUACCAAAUACAAGCUGACUCCUUUAGAAAUUAAGCAACUGAGAGUACAAUAAUUUUUGGGAUAAUGAAGCUGUCAUGGAUAUCUUUAUAAUGGCUUGCAGAAGAAUACUUGCAAUAAUCAGAACCAGCUGACCGUGGUACAAUAUCAAACCUUGAAGGGGCCACCAUCUGACUUGUUCUAACUCCCUCUCUCUUUGUCAGUUGCAACAAUUUGGCUCAGAACAUUGCAACGGGAAGAUGUAUGCCAUCUUCAUGCUGCUUUUUUUCCAAAGAAAUCAUGCUUUAGUGAAUGCCUCGAAUACACUUAGCGACCAGGAAAUUACAAGUUUGAGGUUUUAAAGCAGCUUCUCCAAAAAAAGAACUGGGGAAGGACAUGUCAUAGAUGGCGGAAAUAGCAACCCUACAGAUACUCCUUUGUGUUCAGUUCUAUGUUUCCUCCCUCCCCAAUCUGUACUAUGUUUCUGAUAUCAUUUAAUUUCUCUUCCUUGCAUUGUUACGUUGUCUGACUUGCAUAUUGACUCAGUGGCAUGUCCUUAGUAAAACCAUGGGUAAGAUGGAUGUAUACCAUGUAACUUGUCUUGAUUCGACUUGUUUCAACUUAAAAAAUAAGGCAAUAAUUUAAGUUUUUUCACUA